GAUGAACGCUGGCGGCGUGCCUAAUACAUGCAAGUCGAGCGACAAGACGAGGAGCUUGCUCCUCUGACGUUAGCGGCGGACGGGUGAGUAAAACGUGGAUAACCUACCUAUAAGACUGGGAUAACUUCGGGAAACCGGAGCUAAUACCGGAAAAUAUAUUGAACGGAAUGGUUAAAUAGUGAAAGACGGUUUUGCUGUCACUUAUAGAUGGAUCCGCGCCGCAUUAGCUAGUUGGUAAGGUAACGGCUUACCAAGGCAACGAUGCGUAGCCGACCUGAGAGGGUGAUCGGCCACACUGGAACUGAGACACGGUCCAGACUCCUACGGGAGGCAGCAGUAGGGAAUCUUCCGCAAUGGGCGAAAGCUUGACGGAGCAACGCCGCGUGAGUGAUGAAGGUCUUCGGAUCGUAAAACUCUGUUAUUAGGGAAGAACAAAUGUGUAAGUAACUAUGCACGUCUUGACGGUACCUAAUCAGAAAGCCACGGCUAACUACGUG
rnacentral:rRNA from 1 species